rnacentral:rRNA from 1 species
GACGAACGCUGGCGGCGUGCUUAACACAUGCAAGUCGAACGAAGAGCGAUGGAAGCUUGCUUCUAUCAAUCUUAGUGGCGAACGGGUGAGUAACGCGUAAUCAACCUGCCCUUCAGAGGGGGACAACAGUUGGAAACGACUGCUAAUACCGCAUACGAUCUAAUCUCGGCAUCGAGGAUAGAUGAAAGGUGGCCUCUACAUGUAAGCUAUCACUGAAGGAGGGGAUUGCGUCUGAUUAGCUAGUUGGAGGGGUAACGGCCCACCAAGGCGAUGAUCAGUAGCCGGUCUGAGAGGAUGAACGGCCACAUUGGGACUGAGACACGGCCCAGACUCCUACGGGAGGCAGCAGGGGGGAAUCUUCCGCAAGGGACGAAAGUCUGACGGAGCAACGCCGCGGGAGGGAUGACGGCCUUCGGGUUGUAAAGCUCGGUUAAUCGGGACGAAAGGCCUUCUUGCGAAUAGUGAGAAGGAUUGACGGUACCGGAAUAGAAAGCCACGGCUAACUACGUG